rnacentral:rRNA from 1 species
GACGAACGCUGGCGGCGUGCUUAACGCAUGCAAGUCGAACGGAAAGGCCCUGCUUUUGUGGGGUGCUCGAGUGGCGAACGGGUGAGUAACACGUGAGUAACCUGCCCUUGACUUUGGGAUAACUUCAGGAAACUGGGGCUAAUACCGGAUAGGAGCUCCUGCUGCAUGGUGGGGGUUGGAAGGUUUCGGCGGUUGGGGAUGGACUCGCGGCUUAUCAGCUUGUUGGUGGGGUAGUGGCUUACCAAGGCUUUGACGGGUAGCCGGCCUGAGAGGGUGACCGGCCACAUUGGGACUGAGAUACGGCCCAGACUCCUACGGGAGGCAGCAGUGGGGAAUAUUGCACAAUGGGCGGAAGCCUGAUGCAGCAACGCCGCGUGCGGGAUGACGGCCUUCGGGUUGUAAACCGCUUUCGCCUGUGACGAAGCGUGAGUGACGGUAAUGGGUAAAGAAGCACCGGCUAACUACGU